rnacentral:rRNA from 1 species
UACGUAGGGUGCAAGCGUUAAUCGGAAUUACUGGGCGUAAAGGGCUCGUAGGCGGCCAACUAAGUCAGACGUGAAAUCCCUCGGCUUAACCGGGGAACUGCGUCUGAUACUGGAUGGCUUGAGAUUGGGAGAGGGAUGCGGAAUUCCAGGUGUAGCGGUGAAAUGCGUAGAUAUCUGGAGGAACACCGGUGGCGAAGGCGGCAUCCUGGACCAACACUGACGCUGAGUGAGCGAAAGCCAGGGGAGCAAACGGG